rnacentral:rRNA from 1 species
UUGACCUCGAUCAGGUAGGACUACCCGCUAACUUAAGCAUAUCAAUAAGCGGAGGAAAAGAAACCAACAGGGAUUGCCCCAGUAACGGCGAGUGAAGCGGCAACAGCUCAAAUUUGAAAUCUGGCCCCCCGGCCCGAGUUGUAAUUUGGAGAGGAUGCUUUUGGCGCGGCGCCGUCCGAGUUCCUUGGAACAGGACGCCACAGAGGGUGAGAGCCCCGUACGGACGGACGCCUAACCUUUACAAAGCUCCUUCGACGAGUCGAGUAGUUUGGGAAUGCUGCUCAAAAUGGGAGGUAAAUUUCUUCUAAAGCUAAAUACCGGCCAGAGACCGAUAGCGCACAAGUAGAGUGAUCGAAAGAUGAAAAGCACUUUGAAAAGAGGGUUAAAAAGUACGUGAAAUUGUUGAAAGGGAAG